rnacentral:rRNA from 1 species
GACGAACGCCGGCGGCGUGCCUAAUACAUGCAAGUAGAACGCUGAAGAGAGGAGCUUGCUCUUCUUGGAUGAGUUGCGAACGGGUGAGUAACGCGUAGGUAACCUGCCUUGUAGCGGGGGAUAACUAUUGGAAACGAUAGCUAAUACCGCAUAACAAUGGAUGACACAUGUCAUUUAUUUGAAAGGGGCAAUUGCUCCACUACAAGAUGGACCUGCGUUGUAUUAGCUAGUAGGUGAGGUAAUGGCUCACCUAGGCGACGAUACAUAGCCGACCUGAGAGGGUGAUCGGCCACACUGGGACUGAGACACGGCCCAGACUCCUACGGGAGGCAGCAGUAGGGAAUCUUCGGCAAUGGGGGCAACCCUGACCGAGCAACGCCGCGUGAGUGAAGAAGGUUUUCGGAUCGUAAAGCUCUGUUGUAAGUCAAGAACGGGUGUGAGAGUGGAAAGUUCACACUGUGACGGUAGCUUACCAGAAAGGGACGGCUAACUACGUG